GAUGAACGCUGGCGGCGUGCUUAACACAUGCAAGUCGAACGGAAAGGCUCCUGCUUGCAGGGGUACUCGAGUGGCGAACGGGUGAGUAACACGUGGGUGAUCUGCCCUGCACUUCGGGAUAAGCCUGGGAAACUGGGUCUAAUACCGGAUAGGACCACAUUUUGGAUGGUGUGGUGGAAAGUAUUUCGGUGUGGGAUGAGCUCGCGGCCUAUCAGCUUGUUGGUGGGGUAAUGGCCUACCAAGGCGUCGACGGGUAGCCGGCCUGAGAGGGUGUACGGCCACAUUGGGACUGAGAUACGGACCAGACUCCUACGGGAGGCAGCAGUGGGGAAUAUUGCACAAUGGGCGCAAGCCUGAUGCAGCGACGCCGCGUGGGGGAUGACGGCCUUCGGGUUGUAAACUACUUUCGCUAGGGACGAAGCGCAAGUGACGGUACCUGGAGAAGAAGCACCGGCUAACUACGUG
rnacentral:rRNA from 1 species